rnacentral:lncRNA from 1 species
GGAGUCUGGACCCAGGUGGGGCGAUGCUCUGCCCACACUGAAAGUUUGCUGUCAUCUUCAUAAUAGAAAACAUGAAGUAAAAGCCGCUCAGACCUGAGAAUAAAUAGGAGCAAAAUGUGGGAGCCAGCUACAGGCUUCCCUGCGUGGCAGAGGGGAGAUGAAGGGGAAGAGAGAAGCAGCAGGAGGGGAAGGAAGAAGAAAAGCAGCUCUGAGAAGAGAGGAUGAGGGAAGAAAGGAUAAGCAUGUACAGAGCAACAGGAAAAGGUGAAAAUUACACUCUGCACGACGAUGAGGAGAAGGAUGCACUGAGCUGGGAGCAUGGUGAUGUGGGCGCCAGCAGGCUCACGUUUGACCCACACGAGACAACUGGGGCAAGUAUUUAAAGAGAAGGAAAAAAAGCAAAGGUCAUUUGGGAAGCACAGCAGAGAACACGGGGGAAUGAAGUUUUC